rnacentral:rRNA from 1 species
GAGCGAACGCUGGCGGCAGGCUUAACACAUGCAAGUCGAGCGGGCACUUCGGUGUCCGCGGCAGACGGGUGAGUAACACGUGGGAACGUACCCUUCGGUUCGGAAUAACGCUGGGAAACUAGCGCUAAUACCGGAUACGCCCUUUUGGGGAAAGGUUUACUGCCGAAGGAUCGGCCCGCGUCUGAUUAGCUAGUUGGUGGGGUAAUGGCCUACCAAGGCGACGAUCAGUAGCUGGUCUGAGAGGAUGAUCAGCCACACUGGGACUGAGACACGGCCCACACUCCUACGGGAGGCAGGAGUGGGGAAUAUUGGACAAUGGGCGCAAGCCUGAUCCAGCCAUGCCGCGUGAGUGAUGAAGGCGUUAGGGUUGUAAAGCUCUUUUGUCCGGGACGAUAAUGACGGUACCGGAAGAAUAAGCCCCGGCUAACUUCGUG